rnacentral:rRNA from 1 species
GACGAACGCUGGCGGCGUGCUUAACACAUGCAAGUCGAACGGUGAAGCUCCAGCUUGCUGGAGUGGAUCAGUGGCGAACGGGUGAGUAACACGUGAGCAACCUGCCCCUGACUCUGGAAUAAGCGCUGGAAACGGCGUCUAAUACUGGAUACGAGAAGGGUCCGCAUGGGCACUUUCUGGAAAGUUUUUCGGUUGGGGAUGGGCUCGCGGCCUAUCAGCUUGUUGGUGAGGUAAUGGCUCACCAAGGCGACGACGGGUAGCCGGCCUGAGAGGGCGACCGGCCACACUGGGCCUGAGACACGGCCCAGACUCCUACGGGAGGCAGCAGUGGGGAAUAUUGCACGAUGGGCGAAAGCCUGAUGCAGCGACGCCGCGUGAGGGAUGACGGCCUUCGGGUUGUAAACCUCUUUCAGCAGGGAAGAAGCGAAAGUGACGGUACCUGCAGAAGAAGCACCGGCUAACUACGUG